GACAGACAGGUUAGACAGACAGACAGACAUUACCCCAGUGGAGGUCUCUGAGGACAGACAGGUUAGACAGAGAGACAGACAUUACCCCAGUGGAGGUCUCUGAGGACAGACAGGUUAGACAGAGAGACAGACAUUACCCCAGUGGAGGUCUCUGAGGACAGGAAGACAGGUUAGACAGAGAGACAGACAUUACCCCAGUGGAGGUCUCUGAGGACAGGAAGACAGGUUAGACAGAGAGACAGACAUUACCCCAGUGGAGGUCUCUGAGGACAGGAAGACAGGUUAGACAGACAGACAGACAGACAGACAGACAUUACCCCAGUGGAGGUCUCUGAGGACAGACAGGUUAGACAGAGAGACAGACAUUACCCCAGUGGAGGUCUCUGAGGACAGGAAGACAGGUUAGACAGAGAGACAGACAUUACCCCAGUGGAGGUCUCUGAGGACAGACAGGUUAGACAGACAGACAGACAGAAAGACAGACAUUACCCCAGUGGAGGUCUCUGAGGACAGACAGGUUAGACAGAGAGACAGACAUUACCCCAGUGGAGGUCUCUGAGGACAGGAAGACAGGUUAGACAGAGAGACAGACAUUACCCCAGUGGAGGUCUCUGAGGACAGGAAGACAGGUUAGACAGACAGACAGACAGACAGACAUUACCCCAGUGGAGGUCUCUGAGGACAGACAGGUUAGACAGAGAGACAGACAUUACCCCAGUGGAGGUCUCUGAGGACAGGAAGACAGGUUAGACAGAGAGACAGACAUUACCCCAGUGGAGGUCUCUGAGGACAGACAGGUUAGACAGAGAGACAGACAUUACCCCAGUGGAGGUCUCUGAGGACAGACAGGUUAGACAGACAGACAGACAUUACCCCAGUGGAGGUCUCUGAGGACAGGAAGACAGGUUAGACAGAGAGACAGACAUUACCCCAGUGGAGGUCUCUGAGGACAGGAAGACAGGUUAGACAGACAGACAGACAUUACCCCAGUGGAGGUCUCUGAGGACAGGAAGACAGGUUAGACAGACAGACAGACAUUACCCCAGUGGAGGUCUCUGAGGACAGGAAGACAGGUUAGACAGAGAGACAGACAGAGAGACAGACAUUACCCCAGUGGAGGUCUCUGAGGACAGGAAGACAGGUUAGACAGAGAGACAGACAGAGACAGACAUUACCCCAGUGGAGGUCUCUGAGGACAGGAAGACAGGUUAGACAGAGAGACAGACAGAGAGACAGACAUUACCCCAGUGGAGGUCUCUGAGGACAGGAAGACAGGUUAGACAGAGAGACAGACAGAGACAGACAUUACCCCAGUGGAGGUCUCUGAGGACAGGAAGACAGGUUAGACAGAGAGACAGACAUUACCCCAGUGGAGGUCUCUGAGGACAGGAAGACAGGUUAGACAGAGAGACAGACAUUACCCCAGUGGAGGUCUCUGAGGACAGGAAGACAGGUUAGACAGACAGACAGACAUUACCCCAGUGGAGGUCUCUGAGGACAGGAAGACAGGUUAGACAGAGACAGACAUUACCCCAGUGGAGGUCUCUGAGGACAGGAAGACAGGUUAGACAGAGAGACAGACAUUACCCCAGUGGAGGUCUCUGAGGACAGGAAGACAGGUUAGACAGAGAGACAGACAGAGACAGACAGACAGACAGACAUUACCCCAGUGGAGGUCUCUGAGGACAACAGGUUACUAACACACACAGUUAGGUGUUACCAGACAGAGAGACAGACAGAGAGACAGACAGACAGACAGACAGACAGACAGACAGACAGACAGACAGACCUGUGUU